GCCAGGUGCAGUGGUGCAUGCCUGUAGUCUCAGCUACUCAGAAGGCUGAGGCAGGAAGAUCGCUUGAGCCCAGAAGUUCUGGGCUGUAGUAUGCUAUGCCCAUUGGGUGUCCACACUAAAUUCAGCAUGAAUAUGGUGACCUCCCAGGAGUGAGGGACCACCAGGUUGCCUAACGAGGGGUGAACUGGCCCAGGUUGGAAACAGCAGGUCAAAACUCCCAUGCUGAUCAGUAGUAGGAUCACAUCUGUGAAAAGUCAAUGUGCUCUAGCCUGGGCAACUCAGUGAGCCCCCUGUCACU
rnacentral:SRP_RNA from 1 species